rnacentral:rRNA from 1 species
AACGCGAAGAACCUUACCUGGGUUUGACAUCCCCGGACCGCCCUAGAGAUAGGGUUUCCCCUUCGGGGGCCGGGAGACAGGUGCUGCAUGGCUGUCGUCAGCUCGUAUCGUGAGAUGUCGGGUUAAGUCCCUUAACGAGCGCAACCCUUAUCCCUAGUUGCCAUCAUUUAGUUGGGCACUCUAUGGAGACCGCCGGUGUUAAACCGGAGGAAGGUGGGGAUGACGUCAAGUCCUCAUGGCCCUUAUGUCCAGGGCUACACACGUGCUACAAUGGCCGAUACAGAGGGUUGCUAACCCGCGAGGGGGAGCUAAUCUCAGAAAGUCGGUCUCAGUUCGGAUUGAAGUCUGCAACUCGACUUCAUGAAGCUGGAAUCGCUAGUAAUCGCGGAUCAGCACGCCGCGGUGAAUACGUUCCCGGGCCUUGUACACACCGUGUCGA